rnacentral:rRNA from 1 species
GCUAACGCUAUCUUGAACGGGGGCCCGCAACAAGCGGUGGACGCACCUGGUCUAAUUCGAUGCAACGCGAAGAACCUUACUUGGUCUUGACAUCCACAGAACUUUCCAGAGAUGGAUUGGUGCCUUCGGGAACUGUGAGACAGGUGCUGCAUGGCUGUCGUCAGCUCGUGUUGUGAAAUGUUGGGUUAAGUCCCGCAACGAGCGCAACCCUUAUCCUUUGUUGCCAGCGGUUAGGCCGGGAACUCAAAGGAGACUGCCAGUGAUAAACUGGAGGAAGGUGGGGAUGACGUCAAGUCAUCAUGGCCCUUACGACCAGGGCUACACACGUGCUACAAUGGCAUAUACAAAGAGAAGCGACCUCGCGAGAGCAAGCGGACCUCAUAAAGUAUGUCGUAGUCCGGAUUGGAGUCUGCAACUCGACUCCAUGAAGUCGGAAUCGCUAGUAAUCGUAGAUCAGAAUGCUACGGUGAAUACGUUCCCGGGCCUUGUACACACCGCCCGUCACACCAUGGGAGUGGGUUGUAAUUGUUCUUC